ensembl:lncRNA
UUACUGAUGGCGUCAUCGCCCUACUUGAACCAGAUGCCCUCACCAACCUCCAUGCAAUUGUAACAAUUCAAAAGAUGCAAAAGGAUGCUUUGGAGAUCCAAAUUUUGGAACAUAAGUUAUAGGUGGGUGAGGUGCAAACUGGGAUAGGCUACUCUUCCCUGCUCUAAAAACAUACCCAAUAUAAAUGACUUUUUUAUUUGUGCUUUCAGGAAAUAAAAAAAUCCUCAUAAUAAUUAGAUUGUCUUUAUUAGAACACGGGCUGUGGUGAGACAAGUUAUUUUGUUGAACAGUUUACUCAAAGGGUUUUACUUCAGUGAACAAUGCAGACGAUUAUGCUGAGCAUGUGCAUGUAGAGAAGAACAGCAUCUGGUUAAAAGCAGUACCAGGGUCUUUUCUGCGUUGCAUUCUUAAAAUGAGUUUCUUGACUUGCAGCAGUUAUAGGUCCGUGGUUAGUCAGCUACUCUGAUCAUGGGAAAGCCACAACGUUGAAGUGACUGUAGUACAGAGCAGGUGGGAUGCACGGGGCGGAUCAUUCUCAGGAAAUACCUAUCCAACCGGGGUCUUAAUAAUCGUUCCUCACGGAGAUUCCUUCUGAGGAUCGCAGCCUCUACGUCCACAGGCUCUCGUAGAAAAGGACAUGCCAUUUCUAACACUUCCUUCUGUCGGAGAGCUGCCUUCAGCCUUACAGACAACAAACUCAGAGUAGGUCUAACCACCUCCCGAGCAGGUUAGGUCCACGGCGUAUGUUGCCGCAGCAACUAACUCUCGGUUGCGCUGAACCUGCUACCUGAAACGGAAAACCCAGAGUUUCCACUAACUCAGAGCGAACAAACUCGGGGUUGCCUCAAAACCAGCUACCUGAAACAGGGCUCAGGAGAUUAAAUACGAUAGCGUCGGAUAGCGUCAUCUUUGCUAGCCAGCAACGUUAUUGAUGAAUGAGAGGCGUGAUCCUUUUCUCGUAAACGAGAUCCUUAUGUCGUAAAUAUGAUAUCUUAUCUCGUAAUUACGAGAUCUUUAUCUCAUAAUUACGAGAUCCGUAUCUCGUAAUUACGAGAUCUUUUCUCGUAAUUACAAGAUCCUUAUCUCGUAAUUACGAGAUAUUAUCUCGUAAUUAAGAGAUCCUGAGUGUGCUAACGGCUACAUUAGCUGUGAAACUUUUUUUUAUUUGGUGAAUGCUCAGCGCCACCGUACCUUUCACUUUCACCAAACGAAAAUGUUAUAACUUUGUCACACAUAGCUAGAAGUAUUAGUUUGGAUUUUUAUGAAUGCUUUUAUCCAUAUGCUUAUUGUUGUAUUGUUGACAAUGACCUGUAUUUCCUAUGAGACCCACCAAGGUGAAUGCCGUUUCAGUAUUAUGGGGACGCGUGGUGGUUUAUCUCCAAUAUGGAGUUUUUUCCACUUCGAUCGGUGGUGUUGAUGAUUUGUUAUACUUUGACUAUGUUUUCGGUGUGGUAAAUGGUGUUUAUUACUUACAAUUUUAUUGUAUGGUCAUCUGAAAUGACCAAGGAGGGAUUGUUACGUAUUUUAAGAACAUAAGCUGCCUCCACAUAGCCUCUAGGAAGCAGAUUCAAACACACAAGCUGCAUUACCCUCACAUAGCCACUAGGAAGCAGGAUCGAACACUUAAAGGCAUAUUGUACGGGAUCAAGUAAUAUGCACUUUUUAAUAUGUUGUUGAAAUUGGUUUUUACAUCCUGACAGCAAUAAAUAACUUAUGGGCAAUGAAAAAGAAGCGAAAAAAAAACGAAUUUUGUAUCUGCUAUAAAAAUGCUGUUAAAAUGCUUACCAAUCGGAGACACUGUGCCCGGAUCUAAAGAACCGAUCACAAGCCUGCGCGUUCUCUCCCCUCUGUGUACGAGCCUGAGCCGGCCCGAGCGCGUUCACGGAGGGCAAAGAAAGCGUUGUUGUCAUAGUAGUUCAUGACAGUGGACUAGUAGACCUAGUGAGCCUACAACGUUUACACAAUGGAAGAGAAACAACUGAAGUUACCACUGCCACCGUUACUUGCCCCGGUUCAUCCUUUUAAAAAGGCAAGAAAAAGAAAGACAGAAACUGAAAAGGCAGCAACAAAAAAGAAGUUGGAGACUGCUCGAGGAAAAACGAGAAUAGAUAUUGGAUUAGGUUUUCAGCGAUGGCGACAGCUGAGGGAGUUCAAUGGCCUGAAAAGUGACGCAAUGGUUGCCGUUGAAGUAAGCCGUAAGCAGCAGCAGCGCUCGUGCACGGCUCUGUGUCGAGGGGUGGGGGCAGGGAGUCCUGAAGGGUGGGGGAGGAGUUAAACGGAACUCCGAAGAGAAGCUAAUUUCAAAUCAUGCUAGCUCUCUCACAUCGUACAGUAUAGCUUUAAGCUGCAAUAACUACUUUAGCCACAGAUAGCAGCACCUUUAGACAGGGGCGGAGCCAUUACGUCACCCGGCUACGCCCACUGCAUAGGCCACGCCCACUUGACGUCCUCUAGCGGGUGAUUCGAAGUGAAGAGGCCAGAGAUCUUAGGUACACCCGCAGAGAGACAUGGGCUUUUGCCCGUGGCUCGAAGUAGCUCCCGUUAUUUCUCUCACACGUGUUCAACACGCUUCCUCUCCUUUUGCUCCAUAGUUACCAUACCGAAAUACUUUAACAAAUAAAGUAAGUGUUAAAAGCUAUCCUGGAUUGGAACCCUUUCUUGGAAGAACUCUGCAAUAGGUCCAGGUUUAAAAUCCAGAAGUUCUUGUUUAAGAGUGCAACGUUUAGGAUUUGCCCAUCGGUCAAAUGCCUCGAAAUAGGCUGCUGCAUAUUAGCAGAACGUUAUAGGGCUCACUGAAAGAAGUCCCUUUCAAUGUUACUUCAUACUUUUGAUUCUUUGGUGUGUCUAAAGGGGCUGGGUCUAUUUUCUAAAUGUAGGCCUACACAGAACAGAUUGAAGUAGUUUCAUUAUAGUGGUCUACUUUGGUAUACAAGCAUGAAAUUUAGCAAAGAUACUCUCUAAGGGCCACUAUUUUGGAAAAAGCCGUUGGCUACUCAAAAGUUCAAUAUGGUGGCCAUUUUUCAAGAUGGCCGCCAUUGCUAUUCAAUGCUUAUUAUAUCAAUUAUUCAAACAGUAAUCCAAGCACAAUAUUUGAUACAAAUACUAUCUAAAGGACAUGUUAAUGGAAAAAGAUGCUUGUCCCGGUAAAAUUCAAGAUGGCUGCAUUUUUAAGAUGGCCACCGUUCCUGUCGAAUAUUAAUUAUUCAAAUUGUUCAAACCGUGAUUCAAGCAUACAAUUAGGCAGAAAUACUCUUCAAGGAACACUCUUUUGGAAAAAGGUAUGUGCCACUCAAAAUUUCAGGAUGGCAACCAUUUUCAAGAUGGCCACCAUUCCGUCAAAUAGUCAUAUGUCUGCUUUGUCUGCCUCCCAGUGGCGUUUUCUCCCGGAGGCCAAGGGAAGCCAGGCUUCCCUGUUUUUUUAGGCUGUAGUUGUCAUCCAAUAAAAACAUUUAUAUUAACAGUUUCGUUAAUUAUUUUGUGCUGUGUUGCUGUCAUUUCUUCCCCAUUUUCUCCUCUCAUUGACCAUUUCACAAUGCGCGAUACGGCGCCCCUGUUAUAAACUGAAGACGCGGCGAAACACGACACUGAAUACUGUGAGGAAGCCAGCCCCAGCUGGCAUCCCUUGGUGAAAAAGAAAGAAAGAAUUGACCAAUCAGGUGAGGCUACUGUCAUGACACUGCCCUCCUCUGAUUGGUCGGGAGGGUGUCAGGAGGGUGCCAAGGGAAGCCACUCGGCCCUUGGCUUCACACCAAUCAAAUCAAAGCAUCAUUAUCAACGUCACCGAAAAAACAAUAACAAAACAAAUAGUGCGAAAUUAGCAUGUUUGAAUUGUUCUCAUUUUUGAGUAGCCUACUUAGCAAGUGCAGUUAUGGAGGGUAGAGAUUUAGAUUGUUUACUUAAAAAUAAUUUUACCAAACUACCACAACAGCAGCGAAUCAAAAUAAAAUCCGAUGGCAGGCCAACACCGAAGCUGAAACUGCACGGGGAGAAAAAGCAAGGCUUCUUUGGAGUGCCUAGCUUGCAGCAGCAAACUUCAGCGACUAUUUGGCUGGCCGUGUCUUCUUUUUGACAAGGAUUCGUGCUCCCUUAACAAUCCCUGGGUCACUACAGGAUUCGUGGACCUUGCCAACUUGUCCCGGGCAAUCGAGAGGCACGGUAAAUCAAAAAGCCACAUAGACUGCACUGUGAAACUGGCACUGUUUGGACGUGUCAGGAUUGAUGACAUUAGCGACUUGUGCAUUUCGGUCCGGGAGGGGUUGCAUUUAUGAUCAAAUGUGUAAUUUAAUGAGAUGUUUAGGAGGACUGUGUGGUUGUUUGUGUGUGUGUGUGUGUGUGUGUGUGUGUGUGUGUGUGUGUGUGAGAGAGAGAAAGCGAGAGAGAGAGCGUGUGUCGUGUCGGUCAGAUUACAGGCGUGUGUAAGUCCUGGUAAAUGACCAGGCGCUCAAAUAGCUCUUGUAGUUGCAUUAAAUACAUCCAAGCUGCAACGUACUAUUUUCUCUUAAGGUUUGGCCUCACUUGGCUUCCUCAAAAAAAAUCCCCACGCCACGCCACUGCUGCCUCCUCUCCUUUGACCUGUCCGGCCUAGUUAAACUUGCCAGGGAUAUAAAAUAAUUUACAUAAAAUCAUUAUAAAAUCAUUUAUAUAAAAUCAUUUACAUUUAAUUAUAUAUUUGUUCAUAUUCUUGCCCAUGGUUCUUAUUGAACUCAAUACUGAAUAAUUUGCUUCCUCCUUCCUAUUAGCACACCUAACCGAGACAUGUAUGCAGACUUCCAGGUCAGAGGCCAAAUAGUCUCGCAAAGCCAGACCAAACUACAGCAAGUAGAAUGGUCCGGAACCACGCUAUUUAGAGCCGUCUAUCCGGGGGGAAACUGGGCUGGCCUGUUGUUAUUUCUUUAAACCAAUCACAAUCGUCUAGGGCGGGGCUAACCCCGGGGAGCAGCAGCAGUGUCCAUCAGUAAUAGUGCAAGAACAUCUUUCUUCCUCAGCAAAUGCUGUAUGCAAAUCUUUUGAAGUUCUUUAAAAUUUUCGACUGAAAGAGCCAAACAUGCUAUUUUUACAGCGCCGUCAAAUCCUCUUCAAAACUCGCCAUACUGCCUAGUUUCCGAGUUUGAGGGGGAGCACAAUAUGGGAAAGCCAGCAACAGGAAGAGGAGGAGUAGCGGUGGAAUCCGACGCUAGCGCUAUAGACGGCGACGCUGUUCAUUUCCGCUCAGCCAGACUGAGAGGCCGAAUAGUAAAUGGAAU